CACUUGUGUUUCUCUAUUCUCCUCCGCUUCCCCACGCGUUAUGUCUGCCACGAAGAUCGUGAUUGUAGGUGCGGUCCGCAGGCGAAUGGACCCCCCUGACGGUGGUCUGUCCUCGCUGCAUACGUUGGACCUGAUGCUGCGAGUAGCCUGACCCGCCCUCGCGAGCGGCAAGCGCGGCUCACGGAAUGUGGAAUGCGCUCAAGGGUAAGAUAAAAAGUGCCGGAUACGCGCCCCGAUGAACAUGGCGAAGGCGGCUUGUGGCGUAUGCGAAGUCGCGAGUCACCUCGUCAGGGACGACCGUGCAGGAGGACUGCAGCAGCGGCGGUUCCACGAUUCACGACAUUGCAUGCCGACUCGUGCGUCACAAGAUCGGCCUUGGUAUGGCUAGUAGCUUCGAGCCGAUGCCAAACAUCCCAUCCUUCUGGUUGGCCGGAAGCCCCAAGGGCGAACUUUGUGGGGACGUGACGGUGCUGCAUGGGCUGCAAGGGGCCUUGCUCGACCCCACCGUUGGCAAGAACGGUAUGGCGAUGAGGCUGCUUUUCAGGGGUGUGGUGGAGACGCACAAAGCAUCGCGUGAGCUGCAGAACGGCGCUGUGCACCGCUCGCAGAGGAACGACUGACUGCUGUGGGACAAAAGGCCCCCUCGACUGGCUCGCGCCUGUCAAGGAGAUUGCGAAGAACAGGACGGCGGUGGUGUCGCGCGACGAAGGGGGCUGCAGCAGCUGGAGUGAGACUACUUCCCCCAGCCGAUGCCAACCUUCAAGCGCUUUAGCGCCGGCACCGUCACCGUCGGGAAUCUCAACUUCGUAAGCAUCGCCGGCAAGCAGCUGUGCUGUUUUCCUCUGAGAAGUCUGCAAAGGUGCUUGCCCACGCCAAUCCUCGCGGAGCUGAAGGCGUGGGCCAUCCUCGGUGUCCCGAAGAGGAAUGCAUGUGCGAGGGCACCUUCAAGACGCUGUCGAAGUUGUUCGGCAAUGCUGACAUGAAGCCUGACAGCGUGGACUGCUUUUGAUCGAAGGAGGCGUUCGCAGCCGUACUCAGCGCGGCAACAGAGGAAUCCCCAGCGGGCUCAACUUCGGCCAUGUGAGCUAGUUUGGCAGCCGGAUCUUCCUCGGUCACCUGGUGGGUGGCGGCGGUGGCAGUGGCCAGCUCAUCGCCACGUGCGAGUGGGACCACGCACCUUUAUUUUUUCAUCAUGCGUGUCAGGGUUUGUGCUUUUUUUUGUAUAGCUCAGCAUGCUGAGCACAUACUCACGCAGUUAGGGAGUAGAUGCGGAGGGCGAAGGCGGCCACAGCCGCUCAACCGCUGGGGAGCAGAAAAAUGCCUCCACUAGCCUCUCCACCCCCAUCGCAGAUGAUGCGUGUCCUUGUGCGUGAGCUCGCACGCGUGUAUGGGCAUGUGUCUGUGUGUGUAUGUGUGUCUACCUGUGUUUGAUUUUGCGUUUGUUUCACUCUUAUCAUCAGAGCGCACGUGCGGUGAGGAAGAGGAGUGCGGAUCAGGAGCGGAUGCGAAUAGUGGCUGCGUCCAUGGUGAGUCGGUUCUUGACCCUCUCCCUCUCCUACGCUCCCCAUUUCGCUCACUGACCGCGUUGGUUGUUCUCCCCUUUGCUGUUGCCCUUGCGGAGCAGCUCUUUUAACUAUGUGGGCCCAACUGUGUGUACGUGUAUGUCCGUUCCCGCGUGCGUGCGUCGGCGAUGUUGACGCUCUUUCUACCUUCCUUUCUCCCCGCUGUCUGCGUAUUCUUCAC
rnacentral:misc_RNA from 1 species